UACGUAGGGUGCAAGCGUUGUCCGGAAUUAUUGGGCGUAAAGAGCUCGUAGGCGGUUCGUCGCGUCGGCUGUGAAAACCUGAGGCUCAACCUCAGGCCUGCAGUCGAUACGGGCGGACUGGAGUUCGGCAGGGGAGACUGGAAUUCCUGGUGUAGCGGUGAAAUGCGCAGAUAUCAGGAGGAACACCGGUGGCGAAGGCGGGUCUCUGGGCCGAUACUGACGCUGAGGAGCGAAAGCGUGGGGAGCGAACAGG
rnacentral:rRNA from 1 species